GACAGAGGUGCCGAGCGUUAGGCGGAAUCACUGGGCUUAAAGCGUGUGUAGGCGGGCGAUCAAGUACCUUGUGAAAUCCCACGGCUCAACCGUGGAACCGCUGGGUAUACUGGUUGUCUUGAGCCGGCUAGGGGCGAGCGGAACAGACGGUGGAGCGGUGAAAUGCGUAGAUAUCGUCUGGAACGCCGAAGGUGAAAACAGCUCGCUGGGGCCGCGCUGACGCUGAGACACGAAGCCAGGGGAGCGAACGGG
rnacentral:rRNA from 1 species